UGAGCCACUAUGCCUGUACCAUAGUUUUAUCUAUCUGUUUAAAAAUAAAUAUUGAAAGAAUACAUAUGCAAAUAAGUUUACAUUUCUCUUUUUGUAAUACAUUGCUGCAUUGUCUGGGUAUUGACAAUCAAUUUGCAUUCUGAAGCUACAUGGCUAAUGUUGAGUACUCACUGUGUGCGCCAGGCCCUGGGCUCAGUGCUCUACAUGCAUUUUUAUUUCAUUUAAUUCUCUCCACAACCUGAGAUAAUAUAGCCAACCCAUUUUACAGAGUUGAAACUGAGGCUCAGAGACUUAAAGUUAAAUGCCUGAGGUUGCAGUUGAUAAGAGGCAGAGCUGGAAUUGAAGCCUAUGUGUGCCUGACAACCAUUUCAUGUUCCGAUAGUAAGCUAGUCUGCUUCACAGACCAUGGAAUAGAUGGUGCGUGCCUGCUAGGAUGGACUAGGUAUCACUGUAGGUAAUAAACAGCCUCAAACAAUGGAAAUUUACAACACUGAAGGCUCUUUAUCUGCUCAUGCUGUAUGUCCUCCAUAGCUCUCCUGGGCUCUGUGCUCCACAUCCCCUCAUCUGCCACCAGAAUAAAGAAGCAGCCUCCAUAUGGGACCUGUCAGCAGCUCUAGGAAAUGAAGGAAGGGAUGGCCAGUCCCAAUGGCUCCCAACUCUUUUUGCCUUGAGGUGACAUACUUUACUUCCACUCACAUCUCCUGAGUCAAAGCAAAUUCCAUAGCUACCUCCACUUUCAAGGGGUCCAGAGGAGAACCUGAAAUACUCGGUGGACUCCGUUAGGGCCACCAUACAGUAUCAGCCUGUGUGGGAGACUGUGGAGGGGCAGAGGAGGAGAGUGGAGAAUUGAUGGGAAAUGACAGCAGGACUGUGUCACUGUACAUUUGCUUAAUCCUCUACCAGGUAGAGUUUUUCCCAGAGCUACACAAAAAUCAUCAGUGGCAUGAUCAAAUGGCGUAAAUUUCAGAAAAAGCAGUUUGUUCAGAUGUGAUCAGCAGUGAACUCAGGAAUCAACUGAGUGGCAUUGAGUCAGCAAAUCUCUGACUGCCUCAGUUACCCCAUAUGAUAGUGGUGAAGAUGGGAGCAUUGAGAGAGUUGAUUUGGAAGGAUAUCAGGAGUGUGAACAUUCAAUAUUUUAGUCCCUUAAGUUAAAUACAGGCACUAUCUUUCCUGCAAGUCCCCUUUUUCUUUCAGAUUGCACAGGUGAGAAUGCUCAGAUUAGGGUUGGAGGUCAUAAAAUAUUGGCUCCCACACCAACAGCUCCCCUGUGUCGUGCAUGCAUUCUGUGCAUUUUCCUCUGCUAAACGCUGUCCCGAAACAUCAUGGGGCCUGAUUCUUCCUCCUUGUUCCAAUGGCCCUGGGUGACUCAAGUGCCCAUUCAAUGACCAGGACACAGAGGUCUUAGAGGGAUGCUCCGUGAGACCCCAGGUGCCAGCCGCUGCCCUGUCAAAGUGUGAGGCAAGGGACAGGGCAUCAUCUGUGGGGGCAGUGGUCAGCCAGGCUUGGUGACUUUACUUGGUGGACAGAUGAUUCUACACCUGCCACUGCCUCUGUGCCUGUUUCUGCUACUGAUGCUCCAGUGGCUGCCCCAGCAUCCCAGACUAGGCCCAGUGCCACUGAAGACAGACCUGGCCCCUGGGGACCCAGGAGACCUACAGGACUCACUCAGCUGUCCCCAGGAGUCCUCAGACCCUCAUUCUUAUUAAAGACCUAAGAGCCCUUCCCCGUGGCCUUCCCUCAACAGCUGUAAAUGAUGAUUUACUGCUGUUAUUAUCAUUACUCUCUUUAGUGGCCAAGGACCUUCCAAGGUGCCAGCUCUGGAAGGAAAGAUGUCCUUGGGAGGUGAUGGCACUCAACACAGGUGCUCAACAGGUUGCUUCCUCCUAUCCUCAGACAGUCUUUGACACAGCCAUUGACACUCCCAUUGUGAGGAAGAAAGCCAGCUGAGGGUUACACAGCUGGUCAGCAGCACAGCUGGUCUCAAAUCUAAGGUGCCUGGCCCUGCCUCCAUGAGGGACCUGCCUGCAAGGGAGGUUGACCCUGGCUUUGGGGAGCCUUUCUUGGGCUGCAUGAAUCACCUCCCCUGUUGGAGGCCCCAAACUCUGCUCAUGUCUCAUUCCUUGCCCUGUCUCUGCUUGGGCUAUAAUCAAGGUGAACCCAGCAACCCUUCAUGGAUAUUGUGGUACUCUCUCCCAUUCACUUUUGGGCUAAUCUGACUUCAACACCCACUAACUUGGUCUCUCCUUUUACAACCAAGACAACCCAAAUCGGGCUCUUUAUGCAGGUGACAGCAGACGAAUAGAAUUGAAUGCCAUAGUUGUGUUAUCCCUGUUUUCCGUUUUGCUUGUGUCUCAGGGUUGAUUUUCUAUUUAUGGUAAAGGCAUUUGCUUUCCAUUUGUAGUAUGAAUAGAAUAUUUGCAGUUUAUAAUAACUUUAUGUGAUAGUAAAUUGUAAGGAGAUUUAAAGCAGCGGUUUUCAGCUGUGAGAGGCCUGAGUAAGUUUGCGCACGCUCUGUGUGAUGAGGCAGAAGCAGGCCUUUGGGAAGUUUAGCUGAGGAUGGGUCCAAGAAAGAUAAUGGACAGUGGGGAUCUGAUCUGCUCACCAGACCCCUGGGUCCUGCCCACCUGCUUGGCACUCCCCACCCAUCACUCAUAAUGCUGCCAAACCCUCUGAGUAUUGUGGCCAAAUCCCACAGGAGAGAGGCUGAACUUUGUCUCUUGAAAUACACAGACUCCUUCAACAUGCCUAGGAGCUAAACCGUGAGAGUCAACUUGGUUUUCUCCCCCUCAUUAGGGUUGAGAAUUAAAAGUCCACCCUCACAGGAAGUAAGAUAAUAUGGAUAAGUGACAUCAAUACGCUGUUUCAGAUGUUAACAUUUCUAGGUGGGUUACAGGUGAUUUGAGACCACACAACCUUGUGCCACACAGUGGAGUUCCCUGGCCAGAGGGAGACAUUUGAUUACCAUGUUAUGAUCUUAUCACUGGGUGUAAAGGCAGUCUUGUUUCAUUUUGGGUUCUUCUGUUGAUAUCUUAUAAGGGCACUUUGAAUUUCCAAGCAUAUAAUACUUUUUGGUUAGCUUUUAAUUAUUGACUUCUAGCACAAUUCUGUGAUCAGAAACCUGCUGUGUGAUUGGAUUUGUCUGAAAUGUAUGAAGAUUUGCUUGAUGAACAAAAUAAGUUGGGUUAAUUUUUGUAAAUAUACCAUGCAUGCUUAAAACCACUGUAGCUCCAACAUUUGUUCCCAAGAUACAGGAUGAUUGACAGAGGGCUCCAUGGAUGUGAUGGAGAUGGUUUUCUAUUGGGACCUUCCGCAUCCUUCUGAUGUUUUGUUACUAUGAAUAUGAAUGGCUGAGAGGGAGCUGUGGAGCCUCGCCUCCCACUCUGCUUGUGUGUCAGGUUAUUCCUGCCAUCCUGCCAUCAUUUGUUUCUUAUGUUUUGCAGCCAAGGCAGACCAUGAGAAACCCUGGGAGCUCAGGAAGGAAGGAGCUGCCAAUAAACAGGGACAGGGAGCUGGUGGGGAAGACCAGAAAUCAGGUGAUCAGUUUUCUACUAGAUUAUUUGUAUCCUGGGCAUGACUUUCUUGGCAUUCUGUGGAUUAUUAUCACUAUUGUGUUUCUGGGAGUUUCUACAGUUGGCCUUUUCCUCUGAAAAAUUAGCUUCUGUGUGAGUAUACUAACUUCCUGUAGAGGUAUACUUGUAAUCACAAAUAAGAAGAAAUUAUUUAAAACAAUUCAUGGUUCUGGACUUUAUUAUUAAUAUUGGGUUUUACCAAAAACAUCAGGGAAAUGAUUUAUUAGCAUAAGAAUUAUAAAAAUAUCUGCCAUUUACAUUAUGAAAAUUAAAUAGGUUGGUUUUUGUUUAAUAGAAUGUCAACAGAGCUUUGGGUCAAAAAUAAUUUUUUUUUUAACCUUUGUGCUCUUUAUCAGAAAUGCAGUAUGAAGUUUUGGCACUUAAAUAGGAAAUUCUGUCUAAACUUUUCUGCUUUAUAAUUCUAUUGUAUGGCUGGAAGGAAAGCUUUUACUUUCCUCUCUAAAGGUUCACUGUAGAAAUGAACUAACAACAGACAGCUUAACAGGAGAAGAAAAACAUAGAA